rnacentral:rRNA from 1 species
UGAGGAAUAUUGGGCAAUGCCCGAAAGGGGGACCCAGCAACGCCGCGUGGAGGAUGAAGGUCGUAAGAUUGUAAACUCCUGUUAGAGGGGAAGAAUAACUAAGUUUGGAGCUUAGUAUGACUGUACCCUCAGAGAAAGCACCGGCUAACUACGUGCCAGCAGCCGCGGUAAUACGUAGGGGGCAAGCGUUGUCCGGAUUUACUGGGUGUAGAGGGCGCGCAGGCGGGAUAAAAAGUCAGUGGUGAAAUCCUACAGCUUAACUGUAGAACUGCCUUUGAUACUUUUAUUCUUGAGUUCGGGAGAGAGAGACGGAAUUCCAGGUGUAGUGGUGAAAUACGUAGAUAUCUGGAAGAACACCAGUUGCGAAGGCGGUCUCUUGGUCCGACACUGACGCUGAGGCGCGAAAGCGUGGGGAGCGAACA